CGAUGAAUGUUCAACUAAAAGUCACAAGUGUAGUCAGCAAUGUACAAACCACGUGGGCUACUAUACUUGUUCUUGUAAUGUGGGUUACAAACUAAAAGCAGAUAAUAUGACAUGUGAAGCUUGUUCAUCUCCAUUUUAUGGGAAAGAUUGCGCUCAGAAAUGUGAAUGUAAUGGACAUGGAUCUUGUAGUUCAGUCUCUGGGUGUGUCUGUAAUGAGCACUGGUCUGGCCUCAACUGUACACAAGAUGUAAAUGAGUG
rnacentral:sRNA from 1 species